rnacentral:misc_RNA from 1 species
GAUGAAGAACGUAGCGAAAUGCGAUAAGUAAUGUGAAUUGCAGAAUUCAGUGAAUCAUCGAAUCUUUGAACGCACAUUGCGCCCGCCAGUAUUCUGGCGGGCAUGCCUGUCUGAGCGUCAUUUCAACCCUCAUGCCCCUAGGGCGUGGUGUUGGGGAUCGGCCAAAGCCCGCGAGGGACGGCCGGCCCCUAAAUCUAGUGGCGGACCCGUCGUGGCCUCCUCUGCGAAGUAGUGAUAUUCCGCAUCGGAGAGCGAUGAGCCCCUGCCGUUAAACCCCCAACUUUCCAAGGUUGACCUCAGAUUAGGUAGGAAUACCCGCUGAACUUAAGCAUAUCAAUAAGCGGAGGA